rnacentral:lncRNA from 1 species
GGCUGAGGUGGCGCGGGGGCGGCCCCGGCUCCGCGAGAAGCGGCGGCAGCGAGGGCUGGAGGACCCGGGCUACGGGGCUCCGGGGCGUCUGGCCUGGUUGGGACUGAGCCCAUCCAGGGACUGGGACUCUGGGAUUCUGGUGUAGGUGGAUCCGGGGCAGGCUCAGGACCAAGUCCCUCUCCUUCCACCAAGGAGCGCCCAGAGGCCGGCGGGAGCUCCAGGUUCACCUCCUCCUCCUCCAGGAAAUCUCACUUCCAACUGGAUGUCUGGAUGAACUACUGAAAGCUGCUGAGUGUCCUGCAGCAGGUGAGCUGUGGC